UGGAGCAUGUGGUUUAAUUCGACGCAACGCGAAGAACCUUACCAGGGCUUGACAUCCCCUGACCGCGUAUGAAAGUACGUUUUCACCCUCGGGUGACAGGGAGACAGGUGGUGCAUGGUUGUCGUCAGCUCGUGUCGUGAGAUGUUGGGUUAAGUCCCGCAACGAGCGCAACCCCUAUUGUUAGUUGCCAUCAUUCAGUUGGGCACUCUAGCGAGACUGCCGGUAAUAACCGGAGGAAGUGGGAUGACGUCAAAUCAUCAUGCCCCUUAUGACCUGGGCUACACACGUGCUACAAUGGUUGGUACAACGAGUUGCGAGUCGGUGACGGCGAGCUAAUCUCUUAAAGCCAAUCUCAGUUCGGAUUGUAGGCUGCAACUCGCCUACAUGAAGUCGGAAUCGCUAGUAAUCGCGGAUCAGCACGCCGCGGUGAAUACGUUCCCGGGCCUU
rnacentral:rRNA from 1 species